rnacentral:rRNA from 1 species
CAUCCGCCGCGGUAAUACAGAGGGUGCGAGCGUUAAUCGGAUUUACUGGGCGUAAAGCGUGCGUAGGCGGCUUUUUAAGUCGGAUGUGAAAUCCCUGAGCUUAACUUAGGAAUUGCAUUCGAUACUGGGAAGCUAGAGUAUGGGAGAGGAUGGUAGAAUUCCAGGUGUAGCGGUGAAAUGCGUAGAGAUCUGGAGGAAUACCGAUGGCGAAGGCAGCCAUCUGGCCUAAUACUGACGCUGAGGUACGAAAGCAUGGGGAGCAAACAGGAUUAGAUACCCCAGUAGUCCCUGUCUCUUAUAC